UGGAGUAAAUCAGGAAUAGGUUGGAGUAAGUAAGGGCUGAGGUUUCUUUAGCUCUCAGAAGCUUCUGGGAGGACUUCCCAAAGUCAUGGGAUGUGGCAGCCUGUCACUGAGGGAUAACAUGGAUUAGGUAAGUACAUUUAGCUUCACCUCUCUUUUUCUUCUGAAAAAAGCACCUUUCUUUUUUUCUUCCCUCAAAGCAACCACAGCAGUUAGCCAAUAUUGAAUACCUUGAGGGUUGUUUCUAUUGGGAAAAGAAGCCAGUGCUGGAGCUGGGUGCUUUGUGCAAGGCUUAUUAUUGAAAAAGGAUGUCAGGAGCCCUAUUUCCCUGAACUCAGCAUGGAUGGACAAUAGGACGCAGUUUCUAUUUCAAGACUCUUUUCAGCCAACACAAUCCAUAACAGAACUUCUUUUUCCCCCUGGUCUCUCUCUCUCCACAGCUUUAUCUGAACAGCAGAUGACAAGUAAUUUUCUGGUGUGUCCUCAUUUUCCAUCUCUCUCUAUUACUUUUCCUGCAGACGGGGCAUGCACACUCAGCUGGUAUUAAUUCAGUCCCUAUGUCUUUUUGUUCUCUGUGUUCCCAUUCAGGCUACCAUUUUAGAUGGGUCUCUCCCACGAGGAACAAAGAGGCCAUUAAUUUCUCCACUGUUUCACUAAUUCAAAGGUAUUAAUGCUCACCAGAUUCAGAGCAGAGAUGUGACUGCAUAAGGAUCAAAGACAAGAUUUGCUGAGUGCCAUCCACUCAAGACAGCAGCACCUCAGCUGUAGCACCCUCAGCCUCUCCACUUGGCUUGCUGGCAAGUGCAGUGACAAACCACUGAGGACAAGCUUCUCUCCUAACACAGACCACUUGCAAGCCAAAAAUUUCAUUUGCUGAAAGCUGUGCCAUACCAGUUUAUGUCUACUUGAGAUGCAACUGUCCAAUGCUGCAAAGUCAAAAAGGGGAAAUAGUACCUCCAAAUACGAAAGGGUAGCUGCCUUCCUAUGCCAAAAAGAUGAUUUUAUUUCAUUGUCACGUUUCUUGUUCUUUUUGUGGCAUGGUCUAUGCUUGAUUUCAGUCUAGACCACACCCUGGCUCACUGUGCUGGAAUGCUGUGCAUAAUGGACAGGUGGGCAGUGAGUAAACCCUCGACAACCCAAAAGAUGAUGUGAGACAUAGAACACAAGAAAGCAAAUGCAAAAAAGCUUCAGUUCAGUUCCUAUCUAAGCAGAAAUCACUGUUUGUUUAUUACUUGUUUUCCAGGGUUUUUUUUUUUGCAAGUAGGUUGUUUCCUGUCAAGCUGAGCUGCUGUAUUUUGAAGAGCCCUGUGAUAGAAGAGCAUAUAAAACUCGAAUGUCCAAAUGCAAUUUUUAAAAAAUCAGGUCAGAUAAAUCCUAUGAAGAGGGUCAAACAGUAGAAAGAACAGAGAGAACAGAAAUGGGGGAAAAAUGUAUGGCUGUCUUUCCUGUUCUCAUUUAACCUGAAUAAGAAAUUAAGGAGGAGAAGAGGGAAGGAAGAGGAAAGACAGAACUAGAACAAAAUUAUUUCAGAAUCUUUUACAGAUUACAAUCUUUAUAUUUACAUAUGAAACCAGACUGGACAAAGCACUAAAAAUGCACUGUAUCUCAUUGGGAACAAUCCUAUAUAGCAGCAGGGAAAUACAGCAGUUGACAUAAAUGGCCUUUUUCUAUCAUUAGCCUCUGUGAUUCCAUACCCAUUUCAUUCACAGCAUGUAUCCUUCUUACAAGUCUCUCUGUAAUAAUAGUUCCAGAAAUACAAUCCACCCAGCCCUCAUUCUCUGCACUACUGAGGAGCUGGUGCUUUUUAGUGCUUGUCAUAUUGGUAUGGACAUUGAUGACAGACAUCCCGAUGUUCCUCUCUAUUCCAUUAGUUUUAUACCAUUAUAAUUCAUGCAGGGAGAAAUGUACAAGCAAAAUGUCUCACACAGGUUUUGGGGUGAUUUCUGCAGAAAGAACAGAGGAUGCAGCGUGCUGUAAAAGUCCUGGAGAAAAUGAGCACUGUUAUCUGUCUUUGAUGUACACAGAAAUUACUUAUCAGCCAUUAAACAACUGCCUUGACUUUUUACACUUUCUCCCAGUUGCCCAGGCCUAGAGUUACCUGUCUUGAUUACACUAAAGAUGUUUUGUAAGCCUUACAGCAAAAGCUAUUUUUACAGGGCAAAUUCCCCUGACCUGAUAAUAACAGGGGAUUUGUCAUUACCAAAAAUAUUUGGGAUAUGAAGAGUUCCUGUUAACAACAGAAUAAAAGUAAAAGGCAUAUGAGGGGUUUUGGUUAACACCAGAAUAGCCCUUAAAGCACUCUCUGGGAAGGUAAAAGGCCACAUAGGGCAUCUACUGUAGGUUUUGAACCUUACCCAGCACUCAAAUGUCAUAUAUUGUCCUUCCUUUUUAAGGUUACCACUUUGCAGGAGACUCCAACUUGUUUAAGUAUGUGGAUACUCUGACUGAAGCCAAAGUGAUCAGGAACUUUGAACCCACCUGGCUUGGCAUGCAGGUCUAUAAUACCAGGCAAAUACUAUGGAGGCUGAUAUUCUUCUCAAUAAAUUCAGGUCCUCAUUGCA